rnacentral:rRNA from 1 species
UACGUAGGGUGCAAGCGUUGUCCGGAAUUAUUGGGCGUAAAGAGCUCGUAGGCGGUCUGUCGCGUCUGCUGUGAAAACUCGGGGCUUAACCCCGGGCCUGCAGUGGGUACGGGCAGACUAGAGUGCGGUAGGGGAGACUGGAAUUCCUGGUGUAGCGGUGAAAUGCGCAGAUAUCAGGAGGAACACCGGUGGCGAAGGCGGCACUCUGGGACGGUACUGACGCUGAGACGCGAAAGCGUGGGGAGCGAACAGG